rnacentral:tRNA from 13 species
UUAUAGCUCAGUGGUCAAGAACCCUGACUCACGACCAAGUGGUCCAAGGUUCGACUCA